UAUGAAAACAACGAAAAUAUUCUGAUCAACAUAUUCUAAAUUUGUGCUAGCAUUAGGUUUUACUUUUUACUGAAAUUAUCCCUCCAUUUUAUUAGGAGUACACUGCGUUCUUGGGCAUUUUAGUAUUUUUCUCUUUUUGUGGAUCUUCAAUUACCCAUCGGAUCUGACCCGGACUUCUCCUAUACUAUUUGUACGAGAGGUGCAGGUGCUUAUCAUCGGAUUGGUGUUUCUCUACUGGGUUUUGCCCAGUUCUCUACGGUUUCUUUCACGCUAAUUACGAGGAGUUGGGGUAACUGCUGGCGGAAAUCAUGGGGAGUAUACAUACUUUCCUUUUCUUCUGGUGGAAUAAACUCACAAUUCAAAAUUUGAGAUCGAAUUACCAGGUCAUGAUAUAUCUACGGCUUUCAAGUCUUCCGGGAAUAGUUGUGUUUUUAAUAGUCAAUCAAUAUCUGGUCGUCGUUUACCUUAUCUCAAUCAUUCUUCUCCAGGGGAUUUUGUAGACAGUACACCAACUGCAAGAAAGUUGAAUUUUGUAGUUCUCUGUAUAUUGCUCUCCUCGAUCUCUGAUUCUCGCAAGAAACGUUCGUCAAAAACCUUCACUCUUCCAGCGUCUAGGAUUGAUCCUAGCAAAAAAGAGGUGUCUGACAGAGAUCAACAACUAUUGAGGUCUUUCAAUAUCGUUACGACUCUUGGUUUAUGGGUGUCUAACAUAGAUCUGUGCUAGAAAUGGGUGCUGCAUUUGAAAAAGCAUCUGGAAAGGUAAUCUGCCUUGUGCUUGGGCCCUCUUUCAUUCGUAUAACAAUUAUAAUUUAUGCUAGAUAGAAAGGAAUCAAGAACAUACUUUUAUAUAUUGACUCUGGAAUAUAUGAUACAGAAAUUUCCUCUGAAACAAUGUUUGAUGAAACUAUAAUAUAGACUAAUUGCCUGCAAUGUCAGGCAUCAACCGAAACUUUGGUCAAACAACACCACCUUUGGAACAUUCUGGUGAGAGUUUCAUAUACUUUCAGUUUGCUAACAUGUAUUAACAUUGUGUAUGUUAUAUGAAAUUGAUUUAUGUUUUUAUGUUAUCAAUUUUGUGUUCCUAAUUUUUGACAUGAUCUGGCCGAAAUAUAACUGCUGUCGGCUCACACUCUUCUUCUUCAUCAAAGAAAGGUAAAGCAUUAAUUGUUGGAACUUCCGACAAAGUUCAAAAAGUGGAUCAAAACUAUCAAGUCUCCCAGCAAGUUAAUUCGGCAGUUGCCAAAUCUGCUGUAUUCAGUAACGAGUAUGUAUCCAUAGGGGCUUUAUGGGUGACUGUCACAUGUAAUUCAAUUGCCAAGGCUGCUGCAGAGGUUAGCCAACAUGCUAAGGAGAAAGUGGCACUUGCCGAAGAGGAACAAAGAAGAUAAACGACUGGUGAAGAGGAACAGGGAAGAAAAACCAUGUAGUACUCUUUAAAAUUAUGCUUCUAACCCCUACAUAGGCUCAUAUAGAAUCUAGAUUUUAGCGUUUUGUAUCCAUGCUCCCCUACCAAUGUCAAAGGCAACUGGUAAGGUCAAUUAAAUUAACAGGGUACAUUGUGGAGGUGUCUACUUGCUUGGUUGCGAGUUAGUGUAAUAUAUGUAUCUUGCCCAAAAGUAGAGGAAAGAGAGUUUAUAAAUGAUUUUUUUCUA